GACGAACGCUGGCGGCGUGCUUAACACAUGCAAGUCGAACGGAAAGGCUCCAGCUUGCUGGAGUACUCGAGUGGCGAACGGGUGAGUGACACGUGGGUAAUCUGCCCUGCACUCUGGGAUAAGCCUGGGAAACUGGGUCUAAUACUGGAUAUGACCUUUCUCCUUAUGGGGUUUGGUGGAAAGUUUUUCGGUGUAGGAUGAGCCCGCGGCCUAUCAGCUUGUUGGUGGGGUGAUGGCUUACCAAGGCGACGACGGGUAGCCGGCCUGAGAGGGUGAUCGGCCACAUUGGGACUGAGAUACGGCCCAGACUCCUACGGGAGGCAGCAGUGGGGAAUAUUGCACAAUGGGCGGAAGCCUGAUGCAGCGACGCCGCGUGAGGGAUGACGGCCUUCGGGUUGUAAACCUCUUUCAGCAGGGACGAAGCGUAAGUGACGGUACCUGCAGAAGAAGCACCGGCUAACUAUGUG
rnacentral:rRNA from 1 species